GGGAGUAUAGCUCAGCUGGUUCAGAGCGCCUGCCUUACAAGCAGGAGGUCACUGGUUCGAACCCUGUUACUCCCA
rnacentral:tRNA from 1 species